GCAUGCCAGCCAUUUCCCUUCGGGGGGGGGGAUAAGUCAGGCCACAUGGCGGUCAUGUUUGUUUGCACUUCCUCCCCCCCUUAUUCCACUCUGGCUACUGACGCACUUCUGCACCUAGAAGGGAAAUGUAAAUAUCUCUUUUCUUUCACCUGAUAGAUGUUUGGUGGAGGGCAAGGGGAACCAUGGGCAGGGUCCAGGAUGCUCAGAUUACAGCCACCACACCUCCCCUUUCAUAAUGUAUUUUGGGGACUGUAAGAUUGGGAUUAGCAGCUAAUAAAAUUUUGGGUUCUCUUUUGUUCGGGGCUUCCAUCUUGUUCCACCUGGUGGCAGGUGGGAGUCCUGUCGCGACCGUCUUCAAUAAAUACCAAGCCUACUGGCUGCUGUUUUGCUCUGGUAUUCCUGGCUGGUGUCCUUGUUUUUUGUCCAGGGGGCCCCUCAGAUUUCUCCAUUAGCAAGACGCACCUUCCUUCCUGCAAGCUUCACUCGCUUCCCACCCCAUAAGCCCCUGCCCUGUCCAGAUAAUAAUAAUAAUAAUAAUAAUAAUAAUAAUAAUAAUAAUAAUAAUAAUAAUUUAUAUCUCACCAUUCCCCGGGCGAAGCCGGGCUCAUGAUCAAUUAAUUAAAAUGCAUUCUAAAAGCAACUCAUUCUAAUAUAAAAUCAAAAUCAAAUUAAUGGCAGAUACAGCAAUUCUGCCCGGUCCAACCAUUGUUCCCCCUGGAGAGGAGAGGAAAUCCCCAGAGGAAGAGGGAGGGGGGAGGCCUUCUCAGAAGCGGCUCUUUGUUUCCGCAAUCCCACCCAGGAAGCAGCCAGAAACCUUUUCCUCUCUCUCAGGCUUCCAUCUUUAAGCGUCUUUUCCUCUACCUGGUUCAUUGAGGAUGCAGAAGAUGUACACCUGUUGUCAGGAACAGGGGUGCCGAGUCCAUGGAAUGGCUCUCAGGAUUGAUAUAGAAGUUGCAUCUCAAAGGCAUUUUUGUUCCUCUAACUUUUUGUAGGCAGUGUCAGACUGACAGACAAGCUGAGAUACAAUCCAUCAAAAUUCAAUGACAGCGGCUGCGUGAAUCUUCCCAGUCAAAGGACCCAUUUUCAUGAUAGACAGCCCCCGUGGCUGGAGGCUCAACCCCCAGGGUGUGCCUAUACAGGCCAAAGACUGCCAGCAUUAGCACAGGUGCGUGUUAUCGAGCGAAAAAUACGGUACACCGGUCCACUUUUAUUUUGCUCCAUGAAGAAAGGACUAUCAAAGGGCAGCCAUAAUCCCUUCACCAUCCCAGCACAUCCACAGGAGCCCUGCCCAGUUGCUAUGCCAACCCUGAUGGUCCCAGACAGAAGACCAUCAAGGUAACAAAGAACUUGCAUAUAGGAGUGGAUUCAACAUGGACUGGAACAAAGGACAAUGAUCAGCUCUUCCCUCUGGGGGGCAGGAAACUGCAAACUCCCCUUGUCACAUGGAAAGUACUCAUGGGGAGGGGGAAAGGGGGGAACCGCCAGGUGGCAGGACACUCAGGUUACCACCACAACUCCUCCCUCAACCCCUCCUUUUUGUGAUGUAUCAGUGAUGUAGUUGUGAUGUAGUUUUAGGGGUGUAGUUUGAGGAAUUAGUAACUAAUAAAAGUUGGGGUCUUCUUUUGUUGUGGGCUUCCAUCUUGUUUCACCUGGUGGCAGGUGGGAGUCCUGUCGCGACAGUUUUCAGUAACGACCAAGCCUCCUGGCUGCUGUUUUGCUCUGGUAUUCCUGGCUGCUGUCCUUGUUUUUUGUCCAAGGGAGCCCUCAGAUUUCUUCAUUAACACUGGUCCUGCACCCCCAAAAGCUCCAGGCACAAGACUUUCAUUAGCAUUGAAGGGGCCAUCGGAUACUUGGUGAUCUUUUCUUCAAAAGACAAAUAUUCUGAAUAAUUUUUAAUUGAUGUAUGAUAUAAACAGCACUUCUGUUUUACAUAUUCCACAUUGGAGAGAUUUUGAUACACAGGUCUGAGUUCAUCGCUCCCCCCGAAACUGAUGUGUUAGCAGUCCUGCCAGCCUGGACAGUGUGUUUGGGGGUCCUGGGCUGCCUAGACAACAAGACCCCCUUCUCAGCCUGGCUUAUAUGGUCCCAAGGAAAGCAGAGCAAUACGUUAGGCACC
rnacentral:lncRNA from 1 species